AUUUGUUGAAAGCUUGCUUGAAAGGGAAGGAAUAGAGUUAUUGUCAAGAGAUAUUUGGCAGUUUUUUCUUCUUGUCAUAACGUCUGCAAUACCUUGACUCAUGGAUAAGAAUGUAGAUUUUAAAACAAAAGAACUGCUGCUUAUUGCAAUUAUAAUCUCUUGGACUAUCCUGCUUCUGAUUUUGAUAAUAUUCUUCAUAAAAUUAUGCAUCGCUUUCUUCCUGUCUUUUCGUAGAAGAAGGAUUCCUUCCCGCUUUCAUUAAAUAGAAUGUGGCCACAUAUCAACAACUUUGUGAGGAAAAUUUACAAAUCACAAGACACACAGGCAAACAAUUAUGAAAUCUGAAUAAAAAGAUCUCACCAUCAGA